rnacentral:rRNA from 1 species
CGAACGCUGGCGGCGUGCCUAACACAUGCAAGUCGAACGGGGUGAGGCCCUUCGGGACCUUUACCUAGUGGCGAACGGGUGAGUAACGCGUGAGGAACCUGCCUUUCAGUGGGGGACAACAGUUGGAAACGACUGCUAAUACCGCAUGAAGCUUUUGGGAGACAUCUCCUGAAAGCCAAAGCUUAAUGUGCUGAAAGAUGGCCUCGCGUCUGAUUAGCUAGUUGGUGGGGUAACGGCCCACCAAGGCGACGAUCAGUAGCCGGUCUGAGAGGAUGAACGGCCACAUUGGGACUGAGAUACGGCCCAGACUCCUACGGGAGGCAGCAGUGGGGAAUAUUGGGCAAUGGGCGAAAGCCUGACCCAGCAACGCCGCGUGAAGGAAGAAGGCCUUCGGGUUGUAAACUUCUUUUACCAGGGACGAAGGACGUGACGGUACCUGGAGAAAAAGCAACGGCUAACUACGUGCCAGCAGCCGCGGUAAUACGUAGGUUGCAAGCGUUGUCCGGAUUUACUGGGUGUAAAGGGCGUGUAGGCGGAGAUGCAAGUUAGGAGUGAAAUCUAUGGGCUCAACCCAUAAACUGCUUCUAAAACUGUAUCCCUUGAGUAUCGGAGAGGCAAGCGGAAUUCCUAGUGUAGCGGUGAAAUGCGUAGAUAUUAGGAGGAACACCAGUGGGAAGGCGGCUUGCUGGACGACAACUGACGCUGAGGCGCGAAAGCGUGGGGAGCAAACAGGAUUAGAUACCCUGGUAGUCCACGCUGUAAACGAUGAAUACUAGGUGUGGGGGGACUGACCCCCUCCAUACCGCAGUUAACACAAUAAGUAAUCCACCUGGGGA